rnacentral:rRNA from 1 species
GGAAUAUUGGUCAAUGGGCGGGAGCCUGAACCAGCCAAGUCGCGUGAGGGAUGACGGCCCUAUGGGUUAUAAACCUCUUUUGCCGGGGAGCAAAGUGCCGCACGUGGGCGGUUUGGAGAGUACCCGGAGAAAAAGCAUCGGCUAACGCCGUGCCAGCAGCCGCGGUAAUACGGAGGAUGCUAGCGUUAAUCGGAUUUAUUGGGUUUAAAGGGUGCGUAGGCGGACGCUUAAGUCAGCGGUAAAAUUGCGGGGCUCAGCCUCGUCGAGCCGUUGAAACUGGGUGUCUUGAGUGGGCGAGAAGUACGCGGAAUGCGUGGUGUAGCGGUGAAAUGCAUAGAUAUCACGCAGAACUCCGAUUGCGAAGGCAGCGUACCGGCGCCCAACUGACGCUGAAGCACGAAGGCGUGGGUAUCGAA